rnacentral:rRNA from 1 species
GUACACUCCUGCGGGAGGCAGCAGUGGGGAAUAUUGCACAAUGGGCGCAAGCCUGAUGCAGCCAUGCCGCGUGUAUGAAGAAGGCCUUCGGGUUGUAAAGUACUUUCAGCGGGGAGGAAGGCGAUAAGGUUAAUAACCUUGUUGAUUGACGUUACCCGCAGAAGAAGCACCGGCUAACUCCGUGCCAGCAGCCGCGGUAAUACGGAGGGUGCAAGCGUUAAUCGGAAUUACUGGGCGUAAAGCGCACGCAGGCGGUCUGUCAAGUCGGAUGUGAAAUCCCCGGGCUCAACCUGGGAACUGCAUUCGAAACUGGCAGGCUAGAGUCUUGUAGAGGGGGGUAGAAUUCCAGGUGUAGCGGUGAAAUGCGUAGAGAUCUGGAGGAAUACCGGUGGCGAAGGCGGCCCCCUGGACAAAGACUGACGCUCAGGUGCGAAAGCGUGGGGAGCAAACAGGAUUAGAAACCCGGGUAGUCCCA